UGAGGAAUAUUGGUCAAUGGGCGAGAGCCUGAACCAGCCAAGUAGCGUGAAGGAUGAAGGUCCUACGGAUUGUAAACUUCUUUUAUACGGGAAUAAAGUUUCCUACGUGUAGGAUUUUGUAUGUACCGUAUGAAUAAGCAUCGGCUAACUCCGUGCCAGCAGCCGCGGUAAUACGGAGGAUGCGAGCGUUAUCCGGAUUUAUUGGGUUUAAAGGGAGCGCAGACGGGAGAUUAAGUCAGUUGUGAAAGUUUGCGGCUCAACCGUAAAAUUGCAGUUGAUACUGGUUUCCUUGAGUGCAGUUGAGGCAGGCGGAAUUCGUGGUGUAGCGGUGAAAUGCUUAGAUAUCACGAAGAACCCCGAUUGCGAAGGCAGCUUGCUAAACUGUAACUGACGUUCAUGCUCGAAAGUGUGGGUAUCAAACAGGAUUAGAUACCCUGGUAGUCCACACGGUAAACGAUGGAUACUCGCUGUUGGCGAUAUACUGUCAGCGGCCAAGCGAAAGCAUUAAGUAUCCCACCUGGGGAGUACGCCGGCAACGGUGAAACUCAAAGGAAUUGACGGGGGCCCGCACAAGCGGAGGAACAUGUGGUUUAAUUCGAUGAUACGCGAGGAACCUUACCCGGGCUUAAAUUGCAGACGAAUUACGAGGAAACUUGUAAGCCGCAAGGCGUCUGUGAAGGUGCUGCAUGGUUGUCGUCAGCUCGUGCCGUGAGGUGUCGGCUUAAGUGCCAUAACGAGCGCAACCCUCGUGGCCAGUUACUAACAGGUUAAGCUGAGGACUCUGGCCAGACUGCCAUCGUAAGAUGUGAGGAAGGUGGGGAUGACGUCAAAUCAGCACGGCCCUUACGUCCGGGGCUACACACGUGUUACAAUGGGAGGUACAGAAGGCCGCUACCCGGCAACGGGAUGCCAAUCCCCAAAACCUCUCUCAGUUCGGACUGGAGUCUGCAACCCGACUCCACGAAGCUGGAUUCGCUAGUAAUCGCGCAUCAGCCACGGCGCGGUGAAUACGUUCCC
rnacentral:rRNA from 1 species